rnacentral:tRNA from 1 species
GGGAAUGUAGCUCAGUGGUAGAGUGUUUGCCUAGUAUGCACAAGGCCCUGAGUUUGAUCCCUAGCACCA